AGAGAAUUGGAGAGAGUGCAU
rnacentral:miRNA from 1 species